CUGCCAUGGGAGGAAUGACUCUCCGAGUCAGAGACACAGGUACCAGGUCUGCUGGUGGCUGGCCGGGGGCAGCGCUCAGCAUCUUCUGGCUUUUCUCAGGACCUAAUGCAGAAACCCCUUGUGCUGAAUCCCUUUCCUAUUUUCAAUCUCUCUGACUUCUACUGUAACCAGCCAGGAAAAACUCCCUGCUUUUAAAUCUCCACUUGGAUAAUUGCAUUUUAAGGUGAACUGAUUUGGUAACUUUAAUUAUGUAAAAAAAAAAAAAAAAUCCCUUCACAGUGGGACCUGGAUUAGUGUUUGGUCAAAUAACCAGGGGUAGGAGUCUCUAGGGACCGUCCACCACCAGAUCCAACAGCCCUUGGCUCUUCUCUAACACAGGUGCAGUUCAAGGGAGAGAAUGGGGGGGCUUCCUCAGUGGUCCAGUGCCACCAAGUGAGAAGAAGGCCAUACUGCCAAGGCAGGGGGCAAGGGUUUUCAUCCCUGGUCUGGGAACUAAGAUCCCACGCAUUGUGCAGUAUGGCCAAAAGAUUUUUUAAAAAGUGAGAAUGGAGACAGUCAUUGAAAUCUAGCUGGACUUCCUGUUUUAAUGGACUCUGGUCUCACGUGACUUAGAGAAAUACAGAGGGUGCGUUCUUUCUUGCUGCCCUCCCUUUCUGUGAAUACUGACCAAGUGACACACAUUUCUUAUCACCAUUUUGCAGAUGGGGAAACUGAGGCACAGAGCAUUUUGGAAACUUUCACGAGUUGCAGAGGCAAGAAAGCAAGCCUCCAUGGAAGCGGAAGUGCUGGAACCUCGCUCAGCCCGAGUUGCAAACCUCUGCAGGCCAGUGGAAGUUUUGUAUUUUUUUCUUUAAAAGCAACUGGUUGUUCACCACACACUCGCUCACUUUAGGGUCGACAGGUGUAUGCUGUUCGGAAAUGUGGCAAACCCGCAGGCUGAUUCCUUGGGCUCUUUGCUACCUAAGAAAGAUUACCAAAUAAGUUAACUUUGACUCACUGACCCCUCAGAUCAGCCAAUAAAAUGAAGCGCUUACACCACAACUUGCUCAAGGGGUAGUGUAAUUGAUUUACUUAAAAAUGAUGUCAGGUGGCAAUUGAGCAACAAACUGGCUUCCAGACUGCUUAAUUCAGUUUAACAAGGAGGAAAAACCUUGUAAUUAACGGAAGAGCUUGAAUACUUUGGAAGCUGUUUUCAAAGUCUGCCAUACCUAAGCUGGGGAGGGUGGGGGUAGGAGGGGACAGCUUGUUGAAAACUAUAAGUUCCCAGGCCCCGCUUGCAAGUCAGGGGCCAGGCCUGGGAUUCUGCAUUUAAGAGAAACCCCUUUGCAAGUUCUGCUUCUCUGCUCAUCACCCAGUCUCACUUGACUUUUAGUUAAGCUCUACUCCCUUUUCUGUUCUAAGUCUACAUUGUAUAUAUAUGUCUAGAAUCCUAGGAGUUUCCCAUCCUAAAGCAACCAGCUUUGAGCUGCUGUUUUCCUGGAGUUUCAUGGUAUAUAUGUACUAAUGUUGGAAUUCUAGUUCAUCACGUUUCUGAUGGGAAAAUUCUUCAUCUUCCAGAGCCUGAUUAUAGAGGGCAUAGAGCUUUCAGGGGGUGGGGGCGGGAAGGUUCUGGGGCUCUUCUCUUGCAGUUUCCUGCCCCCAGGACAACCAGGACUCCAGUGCAGGAUGCCUGCUAUCUGAAGAAAGGUUGACACCUGCCCUUAACAACCAAGGUCCUGGCU
ensembl:lncRNA